rnacentral:tRNA from 1 species
GGGGCCGUGGUCUAGCUUGGCUAUGAUUCCAGCCUGGGGAGCCCGUGGACAGAAAUCCUGGGUUCGAAUCCCAGCGGCCCCA